UACGGGGGGGGCAAGCGUUGUUCGGAAUUACUGGGCGUAAAGGGCUCGUAGGCGGCCAACUAAGUCCGACGUGAAAUCCCCAAGCUUAACUUGGGAACUGCGUCGGAUACUGGAUGGCUUGAAUUCGGGAGAGGGAUGCAGAAUUCCAGGUGUAGCGGUGAAAUGCGUAGAUAUCUGGAGGAACACCGGUGGCGAAGGCGGCAUCCUGGACCGGCAUUGACGCUGAGGCGCGAAAGCCAGGGGAGCAAACGGG
rnacentral:rRNA from 1 species